rnacentral:rRNA from 1 species
CUGUUUGGCCAUGCCACCCCGAACAAGCCCAAUCCCAUCUGAUCUCAGAAGCUAAGCAAGGUCGGGCCUGGUUAGUACGAAGAUGGGAGACCACCUAGGAAGAUCAGAUGCUGUAGGCA